UACGAAGGGGGCUAGCGUUGCUCGGAAUCACUGGGCGUAAAGCGCACGUAGGCGGAUUUCUAAGUCAGGGGUGAAAUCCUGGAGCUCAACUCCAGAACUGCCUUUGAUACUGGGGAUCUCGAGUCCGGGAGAGGUGAGUGGAACUCCGAGUGUAGAGGUGAAAUUCGUAGAUAUUCGGAAGAACACCAGUGGCGAAGGCGGCUCACUGGCCCGGUACUGACGCUGAGGUGCGAAAGCGUGGGGAGCAAACAGG
rnacentral:rRNA from 1 species